AAUAAGUGAUGUUUUGCACUGUUCGUGUCCAAUGUUUAACCAUUAGUCUUAUUUGAAUUUUUUAUGGUUAAUAUUUUUAUUGUUAUUAUAUGAUAAAAUAUAAAUAGUAUUUUAUGUAUAACUAAUUAUUUUUAUUUUUUUCAUAAAUUUUUCAAAUAAGACGAAUGGUCAAACGUUGAACACGGAUAUCCACAGCUGCACUUAUU
rfam:Oryza glumipatula chromosome 8, whole genome shotgun sequence.